GAUGAAGAACGUAGCAAAAUGCGAUAAGUAAUGUGAAUUGCAGAAUUCAGUGAAUCAUCGAAUCUUUGAACGCACAUUGCGCCCGCUGGUAUUCUGGCGGGCAUGCCUGUUCGAGCGUCAUUUCAACCCUCAGGCCCCCAGUGCCUGGUGUUGGGGAUCGGCCCAGCCUUCCUGUAAGGCCGCCGGCCCCGAAAUCUAGUGGCGGUCUCGCUGUAGUCCUCCUCUGCGUAGUAGCACAACCUCGCAGUUGGAACGCGGCGGUGGCCAUGCCGUUAAACACCCCACUUCUGAAAGUUGACCUCGGAUCAGGUAGGAAUACCCGCUGAACUUAAGCAUAUCAAUAAGCGGAGGA
rnacentral:misc_RNA from 1 species